GGAAGAUGUCAUCAAACAACACGGACAUGGCGCGAUGGAGGUCGUGUUGAUCAGAGUCAUACGGUAAACAUGGAGUGAUUUUGGCAGCCAUUGGAGAAAGUCUGCUAUAAGAGAGAGGAAUGAAGCUUAAAGAUGUUUGGAGCCCAUAAAAGUCUAUGGAACCAGAUAAAGCCCAACCUUUGUCAAGUAUAUCCGAUUUUGAAAUUUCGGGUUUGUUUUUUAAUAAAAUCCGAUUGAACUAACACUAAAGUCACUUUUGUCCUUCUCACUGAUGUUGCUAGUUGUAGACGUGAGGGGCAUUUUUGUCCGUUGUGUAAGUUGUACUUCUCUUUUACUAUA